UGAAGUUUGUCGUCCAUCUUCUUUGAUUUCUUCGUUAGGUGAUGAACUUCUCUUCUGAGAUCCCAGAUCAUUGACUUCAAAAAAUCUCCUGUGGUACGGGAAGAGCUUCGACAGGGCACUGUUAUCGAAAAAUAAGAGUGUCACAACGUAAAUCAUCAUAAAAAAAAUAAAUAAAAAAAAGAAGAAGAAGAAAAAGGAGCUCUCUGUAAAGAGGAAUCUGAUUUCAUUGAUUAAAUAAUUUUUAAGUACAAGAGAAAGAGAAAAAGUUGUAACAAAGAAAAAGUAUAAAGUUAGAGGUCUCGGACCUCUGGAGCAGAAGUGGAGGAGCUCGG
rnacentral:lncRNA from 1 species